rnacentral:rRNA from 1 species
CGGCCGCGGAACCCUAACCGUGCGAAGGUAGCAUAAUCACUUGUUCUUUAAAUCAGGACUAGUAUGAACGGCCUCACGAGAGCUAUACUGUCUCCUCCCCCUAAUCAGUGAAACUGAUCUCCCCGUGAAGAAGCGGGUAUAGUUUAAUAAGACGAGAAGACCCCAUGGAGCUUUAAACUUGCACCACUGCCUUAUAUACACCAAAUACCUCAGCAACAUGGCAGCUAGUCUUUCGGCUGGGGCGACCACGGAAAAAAACAAAACCUCCGUGAUGAAAGGACACUCCUAAUCAAAGAACCACUAUUCUAAGAAUCAACAAAUUGACAUAAUUGACCCAAACAUUUUGAUCAACGAACCAAGUUACCCUGGGGAUAACAGCGCAAUCCAUUUCGAGAGACCCCAUCAACAAAUGGGCUUACGACCUCGAUGUUGGAUCAGGGUAUCCUAGUGGUGCAGCCGCUACUAAAGGUUCGUUUGUUCAACGAUUAAAACCCUACGUGAUCUGAGU